AUAUAUAUAGAUAGAUAGAUAGAUAGAUAGAUAGAUGUAGAUAUAUAUUUAUGUAUAUAUAUUGUACUUAACAAUGGUUAAUUAUUACUGACAAAUGGCAGGACCAUUUUCAUCAAGGCGAUCUCUACAAUGUCCUUAAUGCCCUCAUGGGAUCCUUUUCAGUGGACUAUAUCUAUAUACUGAACAAAAUUAUAAACGCAACACUUUUGAUUUUGCCCCAAUUUUUCAUGAGCUGAACUUAAAGAUCUAAGGCUUUUUUAUGUACACAAAAGGCCUAUUUCUAUUAAAUAUUGUUCACAAUUCUGUCUAAAUCUGUGUUAGUAAGCACUUCUCCUUUGCCGAGAUAAUCCAUCCACCUCAGGUGUAGCAUAUCAAGAUGCUGAUUAGACCACAUGAUUAUUGCACAGGUGUGCCUUAGGCUGGCCACAAUAAAAGGUCACUCUACAAUGUGCAGUUUUAUCCCACAGCCCAAUGCCACAGAUGUGGCAAGUUUUGAGGGAGCAUGAAAUUGGCAUGCUGUUGAAUGUUAAUUUCUCUACCAUAAGCCACAGCAACACUAAGUAUUACAGCAGCAUGGUAGUCUAAUUUAUUAAAAUCAUUGCUGAAAAGAUUUCAGUAUAUUAAAAACAUAAGCUGUUGGAAGUACACUGAAUUGAAUGAACAAUUUGUCCCCUUAAAAGAUUAAUUCAUGAUAAAUUAUAAAAAGUACAAACAAACUAAAAACACUAAAAAAGCAACAGUUCAAUUAAUAAAUGACAAUGACAUUUGACUGCAGUUCUUUAAAGUUUUAUUUUGCAUUAAUUCAGCUUGAAUCUAUAUCAACAGUAAUUGUCUUCUGAAAGCUGUCACACUUGGUUAGAAUAAACGCACAUGAUAGUUCAGGCAUUUUUUAAUAAUCCAAACAGAGUAAAUGCAA